AUUGAACGCUGGCGGAAUGCUUUACACAUGCAAGUCGAACGGCAGCACGGGGGCAACCCUGGUGGCGAGUGGCGAACGGGUGAGUAAUACAUCGGAACGUGCCCAGUCGUGGGGGAUAACGUAGCGAAAGCUACGCUAAUACCGCAUACGAACUCAGGUUGAAAGCGGGGGAUCGCAAGACCUCGCGCGAUUGGAGCGGCCGAUGGCAGAUUAGGUAGUUGGUGGGGUAAAGGCUCACCAAGCCGACGAUCUGUAGCUGGUCUGAGAGGACGACCAGCCACACUGGGACUGAGACACGGCCCAGACUCCUACGGGAGGCAGCAGUGGGGAAUUUUGGACAAUGGGCGCAAGCCUGAUCCAGCCAUUCCGCGUGCGGGAUGAAGGCCCUCGGGUUGUAAACUGCUUUUGUACGGAACGAAACGGCCUGGGUUAAUACCUCGGGCUAAUGACGGUACCGUAAGAAUAAGCACCGGCUGACUACGUGCCAGCCGCCGCGGUAAAAC
rnacentral:rRNA from 1 species